UACAGAGACCCCAAGCGUUAUCCGGAAUUACUGGGCGUAAAGCGCAAGUAGGCGGUUAUGAUAGUCUGAUGUUAAAUUUCAUCGCUUAACGGUGAAGCCGCAUUAGAAACGUCAUUACUAGAGCAAGUCAGGGGUAUGCGGAACGUGUGGUGUAGCGGUGAAAUGCAUUGAUAUCACACGGAACACCAAAAGCGAAGGCAGCAUACUGGGGCUUUGCUGACGAUCAGUUGCGAAAGCGUGGGGAUCAAAAAGG
rnacentral:rRNA from 1 species